rnacentral:rRNA from 1 species
AUACGGAGGAUCCGAGCGUUAUCCGGAUUUAUUGGGUUUAAAGGGUGCGCAGGCGGCCAUUUAAGUCAGCGGUUAAAUCGUGGGGCUCAACCCCAUUCUGCCGUUGAUACUGGGUGGCUUGAUUGCGGUCGAGGUUGGCGGAAUUCGUUGUGUAGCGGUGAAAUGCAUAGAUAUGACGAAGAACACCGAUUGCGGAGGCAGCUGACCAGACCGCAAAUGACGCUCAUGCACGAAAGUGCGGGGAUCGAACAGGAUUAGAUACCCUGGUAGUCCGCACAGUAAACGAUGAAUACUUGUUUUCGGCGAUAUAAUGUCGGAGGCAAAGCGAAAGCGAUAAGUAUUCCACCUGGGGAGUACGCCGGCAACGGUGAAACUCAAAGGAAUUGACGUGG